rnacentral:rRNA from 1 species
AACGAACGCUGGCGGCAGGCUUAACACAUGCAAGUCGAGCGCCCCGCAAGGGGAGCGGCAGACGGGUGAGUAACGCGUGGGAAUCUACCCUUCUCUACGGAACAACUCCGGGAAACUGGAGCUAAUACCGUAUACGUCCGAGAGGAGAAAGAUUUAUCGGGGAUGGAUGAGCCCGCGUUGGAUUAGCUAGUUGGUGGGGUAAUGGCCUACCAAGGCGACGAUCCAUAGCUGGUCUGAGAGGAUGAUCAGCCACACUGGGACUGAGACACGGCCCAGACUCCUACGGGAGGCAGCAGUGGGGAAUAUUGGACAAUGGGCGCAAGCCUGAUCCAGCCAUGCCGCGUGAGUGAUGAAGGCCCUAGGGUUGUAAAGCUCUUUCAACGGUGAAGAUAAUGACGGUAACCGUAGAAGAAGCCCCGGCUAACUUCGUGCCAGCCGCCGCCGUAAUAC